GCUCUUAGUUCUUCAGUCUCUCAUUUUAUCUUGGGGACAACCAUGACUUUAGCUAAAAUCAACAGGCUGCCAUAUGCUAGGCACUGUGCUCUACUGGUUUGGAAAGUGGUGUGGGGAGAGGAGUGCUAUUUCUUCAGGAAGGGAGCAGGAGGCUGACUCAGGAGCAUUUGGGGAAUUUCUGUUUUGGCACGCUGAAUUUCAGGCAUCAAAGAGAUACAUAAAUGAAGAUGUUCCAGGAUAAUUGGAAACGCAGGCAGAGUUUAGAAGAUACCUCUAAUUUGGGAAAACAGCUUUUUUCAGGCUGUCAGAAGCACAAGCUGCGGCGGUGACGAUAGGAAGAUGACGGGUGACAUGCCAGCCCUAAUUAGAGACUUGAUUGCUCCGUCAUAAAAGGCCCGUGUGUGAUCUGGAUGGUUCUGGGUUGUCACAGAGGAUGAAUCGAAUGUGUCCACACCUUCAUUUCAAAAUAUACAAUUUACCUGCAGCCCUGCUUGGCUUAAGUGGACAGCAUUUAUGCUACAUUCCUCAGCAAACUACCUGUUAUCUGCAAGAAAAAUGCAGGCCUGAAAUAAUUCUGAUAAGAGGGACCCAAGUUACCCCAAAGAGGAGGAUUUUGUGACCUUUACGCAGAUCAGAUCCCAGGACUCGGGAAGAUGAGGCAAUGCUACCUAACCUUAACAUCUGUAAGAACAGGUUCCGGUUCACAGGGGCCAAAGUGGCCUAGAGCUGGCCUGCCAGUGGGAACUUGAAGUCUUAUGUCGUUUUGCUGUUGGUGAAAAUCAAGAGGUGGACCUGGGCAGGACUCUCUGGAAGCUUCCCUGGAACUCCCCAUAAAACUGGAGUGCAGGAGAGACAUGCUAUCUCUCUGAGAAGAUCCACUCUGUCCCUCAAGAGUCUCCCCUUUCCCCUUUCCCAUCCCUUCUAAUAACUCCGAGUCACGUGUCUGAAGUCUUUCUGAUUUGAUUGCAAGAGCUGGGAUUUGAAAGGGGGACUUUGCACUGACUGGGUUUCCUGGAAGACCCCAGCCCAGCAACAGAAGUACAGCAGAGGGCCUCUCCAAUCAGCAGUACCACGACAAGGGGAUGAUUCUGCUGCUGUGAAACUCAGAGAUUUUAGAUUAUUCUUACAAUCUUUUAAAAACUAUGAUGUCUUUUUCUUUGGAUCCAAGUCAGCAUAAUGACACUCUUCUCUCUAGAGAUAGGAUUUGAAAUAAUCUGCAGCCACUGUACAAAACAGCUGAACGUGGCUGGGCAGAGGGCUAGCACCUCAUUAUCUUCCCGGGGAUAAUGCUGAGUGUGCCUGCGACCCGGCACUGGGCUGGCACUGUGCUUGGGUUCUCUUCAUCCCUUCUCUACCCUUGGGAAUCUUGCAUUUCUGUAAUUGAGCAUGGCCACAGUUGUUUGAUAUGCCCAUGUUUAAACUUCAGUCUUUGUUUUCACUGUC